CACCGGGUCUAAAUUUGCCAUUUAGCAGUUAACCCAAUCUCACGGGCUACACCACCGUCAAAAUUCAAGGGUAAUCUACACAAAUCCCCUAAAAAUGGUCCUAUGUUAUAUUUUUACCUCAGCUUUUUUAUUAUGGCAGUAAUCUCUCAAUAAAAAAGAAAAGUUUUCACAAUUCCCUCACAAUCCAAAAUAAGUUAGUUUUAACAUAAAAUAAGACAUUUUUACCCCCUUCUUCUUUAUUGAAAGAUACUAUAGAAAAUUGAAAAAAUCUGGUGUUGUUAUUCCGGUCAGACUGCGGUGGUCGAACCGGCGGCGCGGUGCUCAACCACCGCCAGAGAGAUAAAGAUCUGGUAGUGGCGUUUGAUUAAUUCCACAAAUUAAGAGUGUAGAGACAGAACUAAAAAUUAUGAGCUUUUUUAUUGAUGGUGAUGUGGUGGCGUGACGUUAUUGAUUAGUUUCUUCAAUGGGGGUGAUUUGAAAUCGAAUUAAUUCAUAAGAAAUUGAUUGAUUGUUUAAUUGGAGUUGUGGGUGAUUUCAACGCUAAAAACAAUCUGGUGUUGAUAUAUGAAGCUUGACCAUCGAUAAAAUAAGAAGUCCAAAAUUUCAAGACAUUUGUGGAGAUGGACAUUAUAUUGCUUUAGAAAAGAGUAGUCUGAUUAUAAAAUCUUUUAUUGAGUUAUUAAUUUAUGUUUAUGAGAAAGAUAACAAAAAAUUGAUGCAGGAGAAAGCUUAUGUUGAAUGCCAUAAGAAGAGUUCCUCUUCAAGAGAGGAAAAUUACAGAUGAUGCUCCUAAUAUUGUUCCCGAGGAGAGGAAUGAAAGAUUGUUUACAAGUUGUUCAUUGAUAAUGUUGUGGAGUUGCUUCCUAUUGAUUACACUCAAACAGUUGGUGAAGCUUAUCAGAAAUCAUUGAUAACAAGGAUUAAAAAGAAAAUUUGACGUUGUAAAUUGUGAAAAUAAUGAGACCUGGAGAUUGUAAAGAGCAGCAAUACAAAUUUUAUUAAAUAUUGGAUU